UACGGGAGGCAGCAGUGGGGAAUAUUGCACAGUGGGCGCAAGCCUGAUGCAGCCAUGCCGCGUGUAUGAAGAAGGCCUUCGGGUUGUAAAGUACUUUCAGUCGUGAGGAAGGUGUUAAGGUUAAUAACCUUAGCAAUUGACGUUAGCGACAGAAGAAGCACCGGCUAACUCCGUGCCAGCAGCCGCGGUAAUACGGAGGGUGCGAGCGUUAAUCGGAAUUACUGGGCGUAAAGGGCACGCAGGCGGUUAAUUAAGUUGGAUGUGAAAUCCCCGGGCUUAACCUGGGAAUGGCAUUCAAGACUGGUUAGCUAGAGUCUUGUAGAGGGGGUAGAAUUCCAUGUGUAGCGGUGAAAUGCGUAGAGAUGUGGAGGAAUACCGGUGGCGAAGGCGGCCCCUGGACAAAGACUGACGCUCAUGUGCGAAAGCGUGGGGAGCAAACAGGGAUUAGAUACC
rnacentral:rRNA from 1 species